rnacentral:rRNA from 1 species
GUUAAAAAGCUCGAAGUUGGAUUUCUGGGAGGUUGCCAAUGUCCGCCGACGUGCGUGUGCAGCGGCGACCUCUCAUCCUUCUGUUAACGCCUCUUGGCAUUCAUUUGCUGGUGGCGGGCUCAGAUAUUUUACCUAGAGAAAAUUAGAGUGUUUCAGGCAGGCUAGGCCGGAAUACAUUAGCAUGGAAUAAUGGAAUAGGACUACGGUCUCUUUGUUGGUUUGAGGGACUGCAGUAAUGAUUAAUAGGGAUAGUUGGGGGCAUUAGUAUUUAAUUGUCAGAGGUGGAAUUCUCGGAUAUGUUAAAGACUAACUUAUGCGAAAGCAUUUGCCAAGGAUGUUUUCAUUAAUCAAGAACGAAGGUUAGGGGAUCAAAGACCAUCAGAUACCGUCCUAGUCUUAACCAUAAACUAU